GCACAACGCGAAGAACCUUACCAGGCCUUGACAUGCAGAGAACUUUCCAGAGAUGGAUUGGUGCCUUCGGGAACUCUGACACAGGUGCUGCAUGGCUGUCGUCAGCUCGUGUCGUGAGAUGUUGGGUUAAGUCCCGUAACGAGCGCAACCCUUGUCCUUAGUUACCAGCACGUUAUGGUGGGCACUCUAAGGAGACUGCCGGUGACAAACCGGAGGAAGGUGGGGAUGGACGUCAAGUCAUCAUGGCCCUUACGGCCUGGGCUACACACGUGCUACAAUGGUCGGUACAGAGGGUUGCCAAGCCGCGAGGUGGAGCUAAUCUCACAAAACCGAUCGUAAGUCCGGAUCGCAGUCUGCAACUCGACUGCGUGAAGUCGGAAUCGCUAGUAAUCGCGAAUCAGAAUGUCGCGGUGAAUACGUU
rnacentral:rRNA from 1 species